UACGGGGGGGGCAAGGGUUGUUCGGAUUUACUGGGCGUAAAGGGCGCGUAGGCGGCCCGCCAAGUCACUUGUGAAAUCUCCGGGCUUAACCCGGAGCGGCCAAGUGAUACUGACGGGCUGGAGUGCGGAAGGGGCCACCGGAAUUCUCGGUGUAGCGGUGAAAUGCGUAGAUAUCGAGAGGAACACCUGCGGCGAAGGCGGGUGGCUGGGCCGACACUGACGCUGAGGCGCGAAAGCCAGGGGAGCGAACGGG
rnacentral:rRNA from 1 species